rnacentral:tRNA from 1 species
GGAGGAGUGUCUGAGUGGUUUAAGGUGCUUCGUUGGAAACGAAGUGUGUGGAAACGCACCGUAGGUUCGAAUCCUAUCUCCUCCGCCA